rnacentral:rRNA from 1 species
UAAGGAAUAUUGGACAAUGGUCGGAAGACUGAUCCAGCCAUGCCGCGUGAAGGAAGAAGGCGCUCAGCGUUGUAAACUUCUUUUGAAUGGGAACAAAUCACUUCACUUGUGGGGUGUUGAGGGUACCAUUAGAAUAAGCACCGGCUAACUCCGUGCCAGCAGCCGCGGUAAUACGGAGGGUGCAAGCGUUAUCCGGAAUCACUGGGUUUAAAGGGUGCGUAGGCGGUUCGAUAAGUCAGUUGUGAAAUCUCUUGGCUUAACCAAUGAAAUUGCGAUUGAUACUGUUGGACUUGAAUUGGGUUGAGGUAGGCGGAAUGUGGCAUGUAGCGGUGAAAUGCAUAGAUAUGCCAUAGAACACCGAUUGCGAAGGCAGCUUGCUGGGCCCAAAUUGACGCUGAGGCACGAAAGCGUGGGGAGCAAACAGG